rnacentral:tRNA from 1 species
GCCCUCGUAGUAUAAUGGACAGAAUGCCUCGCUUCGAACGAGGAGAUAGGGGUUCGAUUCCUCUCGAGGGCG